rnacentral:lncRNA from 1 species
GGGCGAUGGGUACACUAGAAGCCCAAUCUCCAUUAUUAUGCAAUAUGGCCAUGUAACAAACAUGGACACGUGCCCCCUGAAUCAAUAGGCUGGGUGCAGUGACUCAUGCCUGUAAUCCUAGCACUUUGGGAGGCCAAGGCGGGUGGAUCACUUGAGGCCAGGAGUUUGAGACCAGCCUGACCAACAUGAUGAAACCCUGUCUCUACUAAAAAUACAAGAAAAAAAUUAGCUGGGCCUGGUGGAGUGCACCUGUAAUCCCAGCUACUCGGGAGACUGAAGUACGAGAACUACUUAAACCAGGGAGGUGGAGGUUGAAGGGAGCCAAGAUCGCACCAUUGCACUCCAGCCUAGGUGAUAGAGGGAGACUCUGUCUCAAAAAUAAAAUAAAAUAGAAUAGAAUAAAAUAAAAUAAAAUAAAUAACAAAGGUUUAAACGAAGUAGCUGUUUUCUUUUUCUCUCGUGUAAAAAGCAGGUCUAGAGGCAGGACCUCAGUGGCUGGUGUGAAAGCUCCACAGAACCCAGCUUUCUUCUUUCUGUUCAGCUACCCUUAGCACUAAAGAGCUCCCUUUGGUUGACACAAUGGAACACCGGACUCCACCCAGGUGUGGUGACCAUCCUCCAAGCCUGAAGAAGGGCAAAGCAUCCUCUUAGGUGGCAAAAGCUGACCUGAUGCCAGGUGCGGUGACUCACGCCUGUAAUCCUAGCACUUUCUGAGGCCAAGGUGGGCAGAUCGCUUAAGCCCAAGAGUUCAAGACCAGCCCAGGCAACAGGCGGAAACCUCAUCUUUACAAAAAAUACAAAAAUUAACAAGGCGUGCUGGCACACCUGUAGUCCAAGCUACUCGGGAGGCUGAG